UGCUGUAGCUCUGAAUUCAUGUGGUA
rnacentral:piRNA from 1 species